CAGUCGCCGCGGUAAUACAGAGGGUGCGAGCGUUAAUCGGAUUUACUGGGCGUAAAGCGUGCGUAGGCGGCUUCUUAAGUCGGAUGUGAAAUCCCUGAGCUUAACUUAGGAAUUGCAUUCGAUACUGUGAAGCUAGAGUAUGGGAGAGGAUGGUAGAAUUCCAGGUGUAGCGGUGAAAUGCGUAGAGAUCUGGAGGAAUACCGAUGGCUAAGGCAGCCAUCUGGCCUAAUACUGACGCUGAGGUACGAAAGCAUGGGGAGCAAACAGGAUUAGAUACCCCCGUAGUCCCUGUCUCUUAUAA
rnacentral:rRNA from 1 species